CAAUAGCGUAUAUUAAAGUUGUUGCAGUUAAAACGCUCGUAGUCGGAUUUCGGGGCGAUCCCGCCGGUCUGCCGUUGGGUAUGCACUGGUGGGCGCGUCCUUCCUUCCGGAGACCGUUCCUACUCUUAGCUGAGCGGGGACGGGAGACGGAUCGUUUACUUUGAAAAAAUCAGAGUGUUUCAAGCAGGCAUUUGCUCUUGCAUGGAUUAGCAUGGGAUAAUGAAAUAGGACUUUGGUGCUAUUUUGUUGGUUUCGAACACCGAAGUAAUGAUUAAUAGGGACAGUGGGGGCAUUCAUAUUCCAUUGUCAGAGGUGAAAUUCUUGGAUUAACGGAAGAUGAACUACUGCGAAAGCAUCUGCCAAGGAUGUUUUCAUUGAUCAAGAACGAAAGUUAGGGGAUCGAAGACGAUCAGAUACCA
rnacentral:rRNA from 1 species